rnacentral:rRNA from 1 species
AUUGAACGCUGGCGGCAGGCCUAACACAUGCAAGUCGAGCGGAUGAAGGGAGCUUGCUCCUGGAUUCAGCGGCGGACGGGUGAGUAAUGCCUAGGAAUCUGCCUGGUAGUGGGGGAUAACGUCCGGAAACGGGCGCUAAUACCGCAUACGUCCUGAGGGAGAAAGUGGGGGAUCUUCGGACCUCACGCUAUCAGAUGAGCCUAGGUCGGAUUAGCUAGUUGGUGGGGUAAAGGCCUACUAAGGCGACGAUCCGUAACUGGUCUGAGAGGAUGAUCAGUCACACUGGAACUGAGACACGGUCCAGACUCCUACGGGAGGCAGCAGUGGGGAAUAUUGGGCAAUGGGCGAAAGCCUGAUCCAGCCAUGCCGCGUGUGUGAAGAAGGUCUUCGGAUUGUAAAGCACUUUAAGUUGGGAGGAAGGGCAGUAAGUUAAUACCUUGCUGUUUUGACGUUACCAACAGAAUAAGCACCGGCUAACUUCGUG